rnacentral:rRNA from 1 species
GACGAACGCUGGCGGCGUGCCUAACACAUGCAAGUCGAGCGGGGAUUGCAGUAAUGUAAUCUUAGCGGCGGACGGGUGAGUAACGCGUGGGCAACCUACCUUAGACAGGGGGAUAACACUGGGAAACUAGUGCUAAUACCGCAUAAAGUCAAUGGAUAGCAUUAUCCGAUGACCAAAGGAGAAAUCCGGUAAAAGAUGGGCCCGCGUCCGAUUAGCUAGUUGGUGGUGUAAAGGACUACCAAGGCAGCGAUCGGUAGCCGAACUGAGAGGUUGAUCGGCCACAUUGGGACUGAGACACGGCCCAGACUCCUACGGGUGGCUG